UCCAGACUCCUGCAGAUAUGCCAGGGCUUUCACCUCGCAGGCGCUGGGCUAGUUUAUGUACAAUGACUGUGUUUAAGCCUCACAUGUGAGUUUCUAGGUUUUGUGUUCUGGCAGAGAAAGGCUGCACCGCCCUGAUUUCUAAGACACGGCAGUCAUGGUGCAUGGUGACUUAGAACACGUGGCCACAGUACUGGCCGGGGAGGCGGUGGAGACAGGAAACCUGAGGAGCAGGGUCAGGACUGGCUGAGUCAGGACUGAGGGGCUCUCUCUGGACCCAGCACGGUGCUGGGCUGCACUGGAGGCUGCUCAGGUUUAACUGUCCGGAGGGAGAUGCAGCCAGAUGUCACCAGGGUGCGCCACAGCGAAGUUCUGUAACCGCACCCUUUUUACUACUGGACUCGAGGUAAGUGAUUUUAAGCAGGCAUUUUCUUUAUCACAUUCGUUAAAAAAGGCAAACUUGAAGCUAUAAGGAUUGUGAUGUAAGAAAUUUAAUUUCUUAUAUAUCUAUCUACUUACCAUUUAAUGACUAAGUGCUUUGUAUGUGUGAAUUCCCUUCAUCGUUCAAUAACUCUAGUGGAGGCAUUAGUAUCCUAUGCUGAGCAAGAAGAGCGCGAGGCGUAGAGAGGUGGAGGCGGCCCUAAGUCACAUGGCUAUGGAGGGACAGCAGGCUAUUUGUCGACACCAAACACACGCUCCAGACACUGCCCCGCACACCCUGGCUCCUACUACCGUAUAAUCCACAUGAAUGGAGGAAUUCUUGAGUAAUUAAGUAGUCCAUUACUUCAUUAUUCCAUAAGAAAUUAAACAUAUUUAAUAAAUAUGUCAAGAGGGAGGGGACAGAAGGAGAA